AUCAUUUUGUGGUUCAUAAGCUUGAUGAUUGGGUUUUCACACUAUUGUGUAAGAUGUGCCUUCCUCUAAACCUUGUUAUUAUGUCUGCACAUUACCAAUCUGAUG